AUUCUUUAGCUUCCUUCUGUUUGUACCUUUUAUUUACACCCAUUAUAUUCCAAAUUAACCACUUCACUGACCAUAGCUGGUUCCCCCUUCAUCUAGGGGGUGAUCUGCCCAACUCACUGUUCCAACUUCAAAUCUAUUAGACAUCACAAUAGGGGAUAAUGGUGGAAAAUUUGUGAUGUUAAAGACUGGAGAUAUCUGUGUAGUAACACCCUUCUGUUUGUUCAACUGUUCCUCCACACCAUCAUGGGAUCUUGGUUGUUUUGCAUUUUCUAGUUGCUGGACUUGAUUUCCCUGACUGCUCUGGGCCACAGGAGCUGG
rnacentral:lncRNA from 1 species